rnacentral:rRNA from 1 species
UACAGAGGUCUCAAGCGUUGUUCGGAUUCAUUGGGCGUAAAGAGCUCGUAGGCGGUCUGUUGCGUCCGCUGUGAAAACUCGGGGCUUAACCCCGAGCCUGCAGUGGAUACGGGCAGACUGGAGUACUGCAGGGGAGACUGGAAUUCCUGGUGUAGCGGUGGAAUGCGCAGAUAUCAGGAGGAACACCGGUGGCGAAGGCGGGUCUCUGGGCAGUAACUGACGCUGAGGAGCGAAAGCGUGGGGAGCGAACAGG